UCAAACAGCCUUAGAAGAUCAGAAUAUUGUCCAUGAAUGUCACCACAAAUCUUGAUGGGCGCUUCAAGCUCCAAUAAAUUAGGCUGCUGCACGAAAAUCUCUCUAGAAACGACACAGAGCUGCCGGAUCUCAGCCUCGGAUAACUGUACCUGCUUGCCGGGCUUGCCCCUGACCUCUAAAAGACGCCUGAUAAUAUCAUC
rnacentral:misc_RNA from 1 species